rnacentral:lncRNA from 1 species
AAAAAAGUCAAACUGUAAAAUUACUAAAGAGAAGCCAACAUUCAGAUUCCAGAAGCGAAUCAUCAUCAACUAGCUGCAACUUAAUUUUGCAUUCAGGUUUCUAUCCUCUUCUUCCUUUUCUGAUAAAAUGAUAAUUUUGUUGAUACACUUGCUGUAUUUCGUCCAGUACCAAUUUCUUAACAAAAUCGGGAUUGUUUCUAUCCUCUUCUUUGAGUUUGUUGACCUAGGCUUUCCUGUUUCUACCAGGCAUAUAUGUAUUCCGUUGCUGCCUUUUCUUGUUUGAUAUCUUAUCCUUUUAUCCUCAUUUUAGUUUCUAUUCUUUUUUUCUUGUUCAAGUUGGUCUUUUUCUUCUUUGCUUACCGUCGGCUGCAUUAAAUUGCCGCCCCAUAUUUUCAUCUGUCUUCUAAUUGAUUUUCUUCAUUUUUAAUCUUCCAUGUUUCCUUGUGAGAGACGCUUGAAUUAUGUUGUCCUUGUACCUGUUCGCUUCCAGACAUUCCUCGCAGAGUGUUUGUGGAUGCAUCCCUGUAUCUGUAAUUAAAUCUGCGGAGUUUUCAAAUCAAAGUUUGCACUGUAUCCGUACAAGUCUUCAAACUAAUUAGUUAAAAUCUGCCCUCCAAUUAAAUAGAUGAAACAUGCAUGAUAUGAUCUUCUGUAAACAUAAGUGAAUCAGAAUUAAAUACAUGUCAAUAUCCAUCAAAAGAAGUUGCUUGCUCUUCUGUGAUUGCCAUGCUCAUUGCUGUAGGUACUGAUGUUGAUACUGAUAAUAACUUCCGCUUCUAUCAUAAUAAUUUCCACUACCUCCAUCCUGUUGCUCACCAUAUCCAUAGGGACUUCCGAAAAGAUAAUCUGCUGUGCUUUUCCAGGGGUCAUUUCUGUUUGCUUCAUCACAAACUGGACAUUUCUGCUGCCGUUCGAUUUUGGCUAAGCAGGGCCAAUAACCGAAUAUACUUUCACAAAGGUCCAGAGAUUCCAAACCAGAACCAUACGGAAUAUAUGGUACUUGCUUGUUCCAUUCAUGACCAUAUCCACCGUUUCUUCCAUA